rnacentral:rRNA from 1 species
UACGUAGGUGGCAAGCGUUGUUCGGAAUUACUGGGCGUAAAGCGCUCGCAGGCGGUCCGAUGCGUCGUGCGUGAAAGACCCCGGCUCAACUGGGGAGGGUCGUGCGAUACGGUCGGACUCGAGGCCAGUAGGGGGACGCGGAAUUCCGGGUGUAGUGGUGGAAUGCGUAGAGAUCCGGAGGAACACCAGCGGCGAAGGCGGCGUCCUGGACUGGUACUGACGCUCAGGAGCGAAAGCGUGGGGAGCGAUCCGG